GCGGAAGUGGCGGAAUUGGCAGACGCGCUAGGUUGAGGGCCUAGUCCCCGUUAAAGGGGGUGGGGGUUCAAAUCCCCCCUUCCGCA
rnacentral:tRNA from 1 species